rnacentral:rRNA from 1 species
UACGUAGGGACCAAGCGUUGUUCGGAUUUACUGGGCGUAAAGGGCGCGUAGGCGGCUUGACAAGUCACUUGUGAAAUCUCCGGGCUUAACUCGGAACGGCCAAGUGAAACUGUCAUGCUAGAGUGCAGAAGGGGCAAUCGGAAUUCUUGGUGUAGCGGUGAAAUGCGUAGAUAUCGGGAGGAACACCUGUGGCGAAAGCGGCGCACUGGACCAUAACUGACGCUGAGGCGCGAAAGCUAGGGGAGCAAACAGG